AACAUUGAAGUAAAAAUUACAUAUAGUUUCGACCUAUAAAUUAAAGAAAACUUCUUUCAUGUUU
rnacentral:tRNA from 1 species